UUUAUAAUAAUAAUAAAAAAAUCCAAACUCAAUCCUUUCCCCUUCCCCAGAUUUCGUGAGCCUCUCUCUUUCUCUCUCUCUCUCUCUCUCUCUCUCUCUCUCUCUCUCUCUCUCUCUCACCCUCACCCUAUCAUCAUCCUCUCCAAAGAUCAACAUCAUCCAUCUCUUCUAUUUCACUUUCAUUCAUUUUCUGGCGACAUUGGACAUUUCACCACCACACCCGAUGAUGACAUAAAUAUGAUGAAACCGUAGUCUACGAAGGCGACGGUUGCUUGGAGAUGACUGUAGCGGAUUGGAUGCUCCAACUCUAGUUGUACCGACGGUGGUGGAUUGGAUGAUGAUUAUUGUGUUCUUGGUGGUUGAAUCUGCGAUCCUUUUUUUUCUCAAUUUCAUACAGGAAAUAAUGGUUUGAGUAUAUUUAAAGGUUUUAGCUAUGAGGUUUGAUUUCGAUCUGAUUUUCGAAUUUCAGUUUAAGGUUUCUUUUUUAUUUGAUUUAUUAGAGAUUUGGAUUUGAUGUCACGUUAAUAGUGGUGCUUUGCAUGUGGUUAGUAUUGGUGGUUGCUAGAGAUGGACAAUGAUGCCAGCGUUGAGUGGUGGUUGCCGGUGAUACUGGUCGAAGAUGAUGAUAAUGGUUUAUUUCCGGUGGUGGUUUUGUGUAUUUCUAGUGGUGGUGGUGGUUAUGUGUUCUUAAUAAAACAGACAGAGAUAGAGAUAGAAAUUGAAUAAAUGAUUAAAAUAUUUUUUAAUAAUUUAUAAUAAUAAUAAAUGUCAAAAAUAAAUAGAAAAUAAAAAAUAAAAAGGACAUUAUAGUUUUUUUUAUGUCUCAUCAUAAAAGAUGAGAUGUUUAAAUUUAAGCAUGAUGAAAUGUGAAACUUUUUAUAAUGUAAGGGAUAGUAGGAAUUAAUUUUAAAAAAUAUGAGUAUUUUUGCACCCGCACAAUACAUCUCAAUCCCCACUCCUCACUGUCGCACCUCCUGCCCUCCAUCUCACGACUCUCGCCGGAGUAAAUCGUCACCGUGCCACCGUCGUUUUUCCACCAUCUCAAUCCUAACUCCUCACCGUUGCUCUCACCGGUCACCAUAACUUCAUCGAAGUUUAUGGCUUCUAACAACAUGACCAUGAUGGAUGAUAAUACCAACAAUGCUAAAUGAGAUGGGAGAAGGCAAAAUGAAAACUACAGGAAAAAGAAAGAGAGAAGAAACAAACCUCAUUGGGAUAAGUGUAUUCGAGAUAUUCAAAGACGUCGUCACAAAAGAUGGAAUUAAGAAAGAUGGAAUUAAGAAAGCAAAAUGAAGCAUUGUGUAAUGAUGUUAGGAAUUAUGACAGUAGAUAUGAAACCGAAACCGAGAACUUAAAACCACAUAUAAUAGAUGUUAUAAGCAAAAUCUAAGCUAUAAAUUGCACGCUAUAGCGUUUUGCGGA